CGAAACUAGGACAGUUAGCCAAAAGGAACUUCAGAGAGCAUAAAAAAUGUUGACUAAACUCUUAAGGUUGCUGUUAGCCAAUCUAAGGCUGACAACUCCUGUGCAGGUCUUACUGCCAAUAAAUAACUUCUUUUUCUCCUGUAUUCUAGUUGUAGUUUAGUGUAUCUGUGCUCUCCUGAAACAGGCAGUUCUGCGAAAUUCAGAACUAACAUUUGGGGGCUCGUCCGGGAUUGGAGCUACCACCAGUGUCCGGUCAGAGGAGGCACCUGUAGAGAUUUAAAAGAUGUUUUCUUCACCCUGCGGGUAGUGGAAAAAUCCUAACCUAUCUUUGCCUUUGAGUGGGUUGACCCCGAAGUUGGGAAGCUGGACAGUACACGUGGACCUGGCUGCCACAAGGAUUUAAGAAUUCUCCCACCUUGUUCAAUGAAGCCCACCACGUCAACCUGCAAGGCUUUCAAGAAGAACAUCCUGAGGUAACCCUUCUUCAAUAUGUUGAUGGUUUAUUAAUUGUAGCCGAGACACCCACUAACUGCCUGACAGCUACCAGGCAUUUGUUAAGAAGACCACAAGAUUGUGGGUAUUGCGUCUCUGAAAAGAAAGCCUAGGUAUGUGUCACCUCUGUGACCUACUUGGGAUAUAUUUUAGAGAGAGGUCAAUGCUGAGUUGCAGCAUCAUGGAUUGACGCAAUCAUGAGGAUACCCACUCUUACCUCCAGGUGGCAGGCACGUGAUUUCUUAGAAACUGUGGGGUAUUGCAGGCUAUGGAUUUUGGGUUUCGCUGAGAAAGUCCAAUCCCUGUAUAAACUGACUAAAGAACAACCAGCUCUUCAAUGGGAAGAUAAGCAUCAGAAAGCUUUUGCUGACUUGAAGGCGGCCUUCUCCUCGGCUCCCGCCUUAGCCUUCCCUGAUCUGGCAAAACCCUCCAUCCUGUAUGUCAGUGAGAGGCAUGGGAUGAUGAGAGGCAAAGGAGUGAUGACUCAACGACUAGGUCCCUGGGAGCGGCCAGUUGCCUACCUGUCCAAAAAGCUUGACUCUGUGGUGGCCAGAUGGCCGGCUUGUCUAUGAGCCAUAGCAGCCACAGCCUUACUCGCCAAGGAGGCCCAAAAGCUGACCUCUGGGCAGGUCCCCAUGAUUGUCUCCCCUCAUGCCAGGGAAAACCUACUCCACUCCCUGCCCCAUAAGUGGAUGACUAACUCUCGCAUCAUACAUUACCAGACCUUGGUCCUAGACAGCGAGUGGGUGAAAUUUCUACAGACAUCCAAACUGAAUCCUGCUACUCUUCUGCCAGACUCAGACGACAACACUGUGAGCCAUGACUGUAGUGAAGUAAUGGCUUCAGUCAGCAGCGUGCGAGAAGCUCUCACAGACACUCCCCUGAAAGAAUCUGAGGUAAUUCUCUUUACAGAUGGCAGCAGUUUCAUCGACACUGGGAGAAGGAGAGCUGGAGCCGCAGCGGUCCAGAUUAACCAGCUUGGAACUGGGACAAAAACCCUGUGGGCAGCGCCACUGCCAGCGGGGACCUCAGCUCAGAAGGCUGAACUCAUAGAGCUAACCCAAUCCCUGAUCCUGAUCCACUAUGUACACUGAUAGCCGGUAUGCAUUUGCCACCGCACACGUGCACGGGGCAAUAUACACAGAGAGAGGGCUGCUCACCUCAGAAGGAAAAGCCGUAAAAAAACAAAGAAGAAAUCCUCGGACUCCUGGUCGCUCUGGCUGCCCCAGCAACUUGCAAUUGUACAUUACCCAGGACAUCAAAAAGGUGACUCACUUGAAGCAGUGGGAAACAGAGAAGCGGACCGCGCUGCUAAAAUGGUAGCAUUUAGUGAACUGACUGAACUUGUUCUCAUGCCAGAGUCCUUAGUGGCGGGCCCCCCUUCGUACAGUGUAGCAGAAGAACAGUGCUUGAGACAACAACAGGGAGAGGAAAAUAGUAGUAGAUGGUAUAUUCUCCCUACCGGAACCAAAGGGCUACCGGAAGCCCUAGCCUGGCAGAUGGUAAAACAACCUCAUGAGAGCACCCACUUGGGGGCAAAAAAAUUAACCGCCCUGAUGCAGAAAGCCUUCUGGCACAAGGACCUAUCUGGAUUAUGUCGAGACGAAGUGAGUAGGUGCCUCACCUGUCAGCAGGUAGACGUCAGGGCAACAAGGGCCCAGUACACUAAGAAAAGGUGCGCAGACUGACCGGGAAAGUAUUGGGAGAUUGAUUUCACAGAAUUGAAGCCUCUUUAAUUUGGGUACAAAUAUCUUUUAGUAUUCAUAGAUAUUUACUCUGGGUGGGUUGAAACGUCCCCACUAAAGGAGAAAGCACAAAGACUGUGGCUAAAUGUUUGAUAAAAGAAAUAGUACCUCUGUUUGAGCUCCCUCUAAAUUUAGAAUCUAACAAUGGACCCGCCUUCAUUUCCAAGGUAACCUGACAAGUCAAUGAAAUCCUACAUGUGCUCUGGAAACUGCAUUGCAUGUACAGGCCCCAAAAUUCAGGAAAAGUAGAGAGGAUGUAUAGGACACUGAAAGAAACGUUAAGAAAGCUAAAGCAUGAGACUGGGUUAGGUUGGGUCUCUCUUCUCCCAUUUGCCCUAAUUAAAACCCGCUGCACCCCCUACUUCCUUGACCUCACACCUUAUAAAAUCAUGUUUAGUAGACCGCCACCCUUGCUACCACAAGUGGAUAGUGACAAAAUAGCUGAAUUAACUAAUACUGACCUACUUCAGUCGCUGCAGGCUUUUCACAUCUUACAGGAAGAAAUAAAAAACAUCUUCGCAGCUGUAGAGGGAGCCGCACAGGUGAGACCGCACCCCCAUGCUCCCGGAGAUCUCUUGUAGAUCUGGAAGCCGCACCCGGAGACUCUCGAAAUGCGGUGGAAAGGACCAUACGUUGUAAUCCUCUCUACACCCCCCACAGUGAAAGUAACUGGUGUCCUCCCGUGGAUACAUGACAUGCAAGUGAAGAAGUUCCUCCACAACGGGGAAAAGCAAAGGUGGACUCUAACUAAAUCUGCUACUAACCCCUUGAAACUAACCUUUAAAACUAAUCAUAUAUAAAGCUUACUUGUGGGGGAUCACCACUUUUUAAAUAUUUCAGCUAUGCCAGGGAAAGAAUAAGUUGCAUCAACCACGGAGCGGAGGGAAGAAAGCCACUAUGUACACAAAGGAUAAUGAGGAUACCCACUCCCACCUCCAGGUGGCAGAGACAAGUUGUGACAGCCCAGCAGAACCCUACUGGCCCCCUCCGGGUCCGGGAAAUAUUUCAACCCCCACCAGGGCCUCCACGCCGGACUCAGCCACCCUUGCUGAAGCCACAUUUUCACUCUGUGCCCCGGCCAAUAACAAAGACCACCCUUCUGCCAGAAAAAUUAACCACUACCCCCAUUGCUGCCUCUGGCCCCGUGCUUCAAUUAGUACAAGAUGUUUAUAAAUUUCUGAACACCUCUGCAGUGUCUAAUUUGACCCGAGACUGCUGGCUAUGUGUAGACUCUAGGCCUCUGUAUUAUGUCGGCAUAGCUGUAAACCCUCCCUAGGAAACUCCCAGUCCCUAUUCCAGAAAGGGUCCCUAGAAACACUGGAACAGCAAGGGAAGUGCACCUGGGGACAGGUUCCCUCUUUGACCCUCGGAGAUGUUCAAGGGACUGGGUGGUGUAUACACUCCCCAGAUUACAAUUAGAACAAUUUCUCCAUUUCUUAAGAAUUGCUCAGUAAAAUUAAAUUAUACAAACACAGCCACUUCUUCUGGCCAGUAUUUCUAUGGCCCAGACAGCAUCUGGUUUGCUUGUGUCACAGGAUUAACACCUUGUAUACCAAAAGAACUGAUGGCAUCAGAUUUCAACCCUGCAGGACCAGAGCUUUGUAUACUUGUCCAUCUAAUACCCCAAAUUUUUCUGUAUGAUGGAGAAGCAGGAUGAGAACACAUAAGAGUUCAGGACGGUGGAGAACUAAGAGAGCAGCUCCUAUAUUAGUCCCCUUGCUAGUAGGACUAGGUAUUACUGGGUCAACAGCCAUCGGAACAGCCGCUCUAGUCACCUCAGAUAUAAAUUUCAAAACUCUAGCUCACUCCAUCAACCGAGAUUUAAGACUUCUAGAGAGCACUGUGCAACAACCUGAAU